rnacentral:lncRNA from 1 species
CACAGAACGGCACUGCAUCGGAGUAGGCACACUGCAAAGACGAGACGAGUCCUCCCCAGAGAGGGGAGGCGGUUAAGGAGAGGAGAUUGCGUGGCUCGGAGCAGCCAGACCCGAUGGUGUGCUUCUCACCUCAGCGUGAUAGCCUGACCUUGACUCCUGAGUUCCACGAUCGCUUCACAACUGCAAGUCACCAUCAUACAAAAUUUGAGUUUCCCUAAGUCCGCGCCUUUGAGAGCUUUGGAACGAUAUGCAAGUUCAAGUCACCAUCCUGUUUCUUGCUACCUCCUGUGAGAAGACCAACAUUUGGGUUACACUUGUUUCUACUCUUGUUCUUCUGCUUGUUAUUGUUGCCUCUGCAGCCAUUGAUCACACACGUGUUGUCAUACAAAAACUGGUUAGCCUUUUUAUUUGUCUUGUGAAUUUUAUCAUUUGGUUCUUAAGUAUUACAAAUUAAUAUUGUGUACUCUCAUUGAUAUACAACUUGCAGUCAUUGUAAAUAUGCGUGAGUUAGGGGUGAGAAUGGCAUGCAAGCAAAAGAACAAGGAGAGGGAUGAUAGAGAUGCAAGAAGAGUAAAGAGGGCAAGAAAGUUUAUGUUAAUAGCGAACACAAUGAAAG